rnacentral:tRNA from 1 species
GCGGAAGUGGCUCAGUGGUAGAGCAUCACCUUGCCAAGGUGAGGGUCGCGGGUUCGAAUCCCGUCUUCCGCUCCC